UCGCAGAGCGACCGGACACGUUCUUUCCGUUCUCAGGCAGUGUGGGUCCCGCUACCCCAGCAGCCUAGCGCUUCUAACCGCAGACAGCACGGCAGUCGGGGUGGGGAGAAAAAAAACAAUCGAGCUUGAGUCCACCGACCUGGAAGAGAAGGCCAAGAGCUGCCUUUUCCCCUUCCAGUGUAGGUAAGGAAGGAAGGACUCAAAGAAAAACAGCAGGCUGGACAGGUGCUUCCUCGCAUUUCAGUCACGAAUGGGCAGUAGUUUUAAUCAUCUUUCCCCGCGGUUUUACGAUAAUACCAGAAGUCUGGUGGAGAUCCAGUUAAAUCUUCGAGAAUAGAAGACGGGCUUAGAGGAAUUCCGUGCCAGCACAAAAUCAGGCCUACAGGUGUUUGUCUUCUUCCUCAACAUCAGGCGUGUCCAGGCUAUGGGUCUGGGGGCUGAGUUUGGUUGGUCUGGACAGGAGUAAAACAACUCACUUUGAUCCGGACCAAAGAGGAUGGAGGGUCAGCACCCCAAUCCC
rnacentral:lncRNA from 1 species